rnacentral:rRNA from 1 species
CACGGGGGUUGCGAGCGUUGUCCGGAAUUACUAGGCGUAAAGGGCAGGCAGGCGGAUCCAUAAGUUUAUCGUUUAAGGCGUCGGCUUAACCGACGUAGGGCGGUAGAUACUGUGGAUCUGGAAUGCGGUUGGGGAAGACAGAAUUCCUGGUGUAGCGGUGGAAUGCGCAGGGAUCAGGAGGAAUACCGAAGGCGAAGGCAGUCUUCCAAGCCGUUAUUGACGCUCAACUGCGAAGGUGUGGGGAUCAAAACAGGAUUAGAUACCCCCGUAGUUCCUGAGCGGG